CUGGUGUUAGUGGCUCGUGCCUGGCAGGAUCCAGGGGCGGGGCCCCGCAAGCAUUUGGCCCCUGUUUUCUUCAGAGCACUUCAUUGGCUGAAUUUUGAAAGGUCCACAAAGGUCAUAGUUUGGUUGACUUCACCUGCAAAGGUUCUUCUACCUCAGACAGGCCGAGAGAACAGACAUGGGAGAAGAGUGCACAGAAGGGGAUUUGGAGGAGUUACACUUGUCCUCCCUGUUUUAAUCCUGCAUCAUAUGUGUUUUGAUCUCUCUCAGGUGUCUCACUCCUUCCCUGCCCUGCCCUGCCCUGCCCUGCUCCACUGCACUGUGAUUGGUCCAUUUGGAGGGAUUGUUGUUAGCCUGGGUGGCAGGCUAGAUUGCUGCCUCUCAGAUGCACCAGCUGAUGAAGUUUCCCACCUGUCCAUUGUCUUCUCUCCUGGUGGUGUACAGGACAGGAUCUCACCACGGUCUCGAUACUGGUGCGGGUGGAGUUAAGUCGACAGGUGGUUGAUGGGAACCCUGAGUUGAAUCUCCUGAAAAUCCUGGAUGUCACUGGACGUCAUGGCCUGUACAAUAGUAGGUGUGGCAGAUAGAAUGAUCACUGUGGUCGCAUAUGCUGAUAUUAUAACUGUGAAUGAGAAACAGAAGUGAUGGAGGAGUCGAGAACAGGAAGACAUAGCAGAAAUCCGUCCACAGAAAGGAGGAAUAAAGACAGAAAGUGAGAGAAUUUAAUGCAGUCAUAAUCAAAAUUACGUUUCAACCUGAGGAGACAUGCAGCAGGGACCUCCUGUCCAGUUGAGGCUAAUAUGAUGUCUGUAAAUGAGGUGGUUGAGGGUCAGAGCGUUGCGCAGUGAUACGUGUUGAUGGACAUGCAAUCUGUAGGUGAAAUUAGUUGUGUGACAGUCUCUCUAACCGGCAGGCUCCCACACUGUCUGCCCUCCAGUCUGACUAAACCAUCCCUUCGGUUAUUUCGUCAGCUCAUUGUUCAUUCAGUCCUUCUCAAUACUGCAAAUCUGCACUAAAUAGUUUCCAUUCAGCGUGAUCGGGCUUAGUGCAGGGGACAGAGAUGAUUUAUGACUUUGUGACUUUAAGCUGCUCACAACAUUGAAUCCAUAAUUACUUUUAGUGUGGGCUGAAAUGUUGUCAGUGACCCGAAACAGAGUGACCGUUUCUGGACAAACUGGCUGAAACUGAUGGGGAGUUAAGUGGAUAUAAGGGGGUGCUUAUGCCAAGCAGAGCUCACAAAUAAUGGCCUAUUAAACGUGCAAUUUGUGAGAGCUGAUAGCCGCUAAUGAAGCCUGUGUGUUUCAAAUUGGGUUGACAAUAUACAGCAAGUGAAGUCUUUUAGAGAAAACCAGACAGACAAAAGACAAGCAGAACAUCUGACAGCAGUGGAUGUUCGAGUCUCUCCGGGGAGUCUUAAUCUGCUGUGUUUGAAUGUCGAAAAAACUUGAGUCUUAAGAAUCAAAGUCCCCAGAUUUACUUGCACAUUGUUUCAGAGUUUGAAGGCAACAAACAAACUCAAGGUCAUUCAAUCACAACAACACCCAAGGAGGUGUUUUUCUCUUUUUGGUCACCAGGAGAGUUGACUACAGAGAAUAGAAGUGUCAGAGAUGUCCUUGGCUAAACUUCAUUCGAACUGUCUUAUUUUUGACAAAAUGACCAGCUGGCAUGGAAACAGAAACAGAGAAAAACAAGCUUUGAAAUUCCAGCUGGACUUUGAAUUCCCCAGACGGUCACUUUGCACAUUUCCUUUUGUGUUCUGUGUUCGUAUAACUCUGGAUAACAAGAAUUAAAUGCUAACAGUAAGACAGCUUUAAUCAAUAUUUGUGCACUUUUAAGUCUCGUGGUAAUGAUCUGGCACCCAGUACUGUAAAAAAGAAUAUA